UGAGGAAUAUUGCGCAAUGGGCGAAAGCCUGACGCAGCGACGCCGCGUGGAGGAUGAAGGUCUUAGGAUUGUAAACUUCUGUUAAGUGGGAAGAAAGAUAAGGUUUUAAUACAAUCUUAUUAUGACGGUACCAUUAGAGAAAGCACCGGCUAAACUCGUGCCAGCAGCCGCGGUAAUACGAGUGGUGCGAGCGUUAUUCGGAUUUAUUGGGCGUAAAGGGUGCGCAGGCGGUAUGUUAAGUCAGUCGUUAAAUCCUCCAGCCUAACUGGAGAUAGGCGGCAGAUACUGGCAUGCUAGAGGGUGGAAGAGAGAAGUGGAAUUCUUGGAGUAGCGGUAAAAUGCGUAGAUCUCAAGAGGAACACCGAUGGCGAAGGCAGCUUCUUGGUCCACAUCUGACGCUCAUGCACGAAAGCGUGGGGAGCAAACA
rnacentral:rRNA from 1 species